rnacentral:rRNA from 1 species
AGAGUUUGAUCCUGGCUCAGGAUGAACGCUAGCGACAGGCUUAACACAUGCAAGUCGAGGGGCAGCACAGGUAGCAAUACCGGGUGGCGACCGGCGCACGGGUGAGUAACGCGUAUGCAACUUGCCUAUCAGAGGGGGAUAACCCGGCGAAAGUCGGACUAAUACCGCAUGAAGCAGGGGCCCCGCAUGGGGAUAUUUGCUAAAGAUUCAUCGCUGAUAGAUAGGCAUGCGUUCCAUUAGGCAGUUGGCGGGGUAACGGCCCACCAAACCGACGAUGGAUAGGGGUUCUGAGAGGAAGGUCCCCCACAUUGGUACUGAGACACGGACCAAACUCCUACGGGAGGCAGCAGUGAGGAAUAUUGGUCAAUGGCCGAGAGGCUGAACCAGCCAAGUCGCGUGAAGGAAGAAGGAUCUAUGGUUUGUAAACUUCUUUUAUAGGGGAAUAAAGUGGAGGACGUGUCCUUUUUUGUAUGUACCCUAUGAAUAAGCAUCGGCUAACUCCGUGCCAGCAGCCGCGGUAAUACGGAGGAUGCGAGCGUUAUCCGGAUUUAUUGGGUUUAAAGGGUGCGUAGGUGGUGAUUUAAGUCAGCGGUGAAAGUUUGUGGCUCAACCAUAAAAUUGCCGUUGAAACUGGGUUACUUGAGUGUGUUUGAGGUAGGCGGAAUGCGUGGUGUAGCGGUGAAAUGCAUAGAUAUCACGCAGAACUCCGAUUGCGAAGGCAGCUUACUAAACCAUAACUGACACUGAAGCACGAAAGCGUGGGGAUCAAACAGGAUUAGAUACCCUGGUAGUCCACGCAGUAAACGAUGAUCACUAGCUGUUUGCGAUACACUGUAAGCGGCACAGCGAAAGCGUUAAGUGAUCCACCUGGGGAGUACGCCGGCAACGGUGAAACUCAAAGGAAUUGACGGGGGCCC